rnacentral:lncRNA from 1 species
UGCGAAUAAUAACAACAAAGACGGAUUUCGGAAAUACCAAACCGUUAGAUAUCGAAUCGUUCGGUGUUCUGUCGUGCAGUGCGCGAGCCAGAAAAUAUGUUGAAUGCCAGAAGAAUGACAACAUCUGUCCGGCCUCGGGCGCUUCCACGCCCUGCGCUGCCUGCCUGGCUGGCUGGCUGGAUCUGCCUGCCUAGCUGGAUCUGCCUGCCUAUCUACAUCUGCCUGCCUGGCUGGAUCUGCCUGCCUAUCUACAUCUGCCUGCCUGGCUGGAUCUGCCUGCCUAUCUACACUGCCUGCCUGGCUGGAUCUGCCUGCCUAUCUACACUGCCUGCCUGGCUGGAUCUGCCUGCCUAUCUACACUGCCUGCCUAGUUGGAUCUGCCGUCUGCAUCUAACAAAGGUGCAGACUGAGACAGGGACACUGAGUGGACUCCCCUAUUGGUGUGCUGUGGUACUGCAGUGGGACCCCUGUGGAGCGCCUUGACAGUUCUGUGCAGUGUGCGUCUGGGUGUGUGUGAGCACCCGUUGAGUAG